rnacentral:rRNA from 1 species
AUUGAACGCUGGCGGCAGGCCUAACACAUGCAAGUCGAACGAGUGGCGGACGGGUGAGUAAUGGCUGGGAAACUGCCUGAUGGAGGGGGAUAACUACUGGAAACGGUAGCUAAUACCGCAUACCAUCAGACGUGCCCAGAUGGGAUGGGCUCGUUGGGGGGGUAACGGCUCACAAAGGCCACCAUCCCUAGCUGGUCUGAGAGGAUGACCAGCGACAAUGGAACUGAGGCACGGUCCAGACUCCUACGGGAGGCAGCAGUGGGAAAUAGUGCACAAUGGGCGCAAGCCUGAUGCAGCCAUGCCGAGUGUAUGAAGAGGGCCUUCGGGUUGUAAAGUACUUUCAGCGGGGAGGCGUUACCCGCAGAAGAAGCACCGGCUAACUCCGUGCCAGCCGCCGCGGUAAUAC